AGUGUCCUUUCUAUUAGGGCAGGAAGUGCAUGGUCGCUUUCCUAGCAUGUAACCGCCACUGAUUCCUGGAAUAAACCCCCCUGAGUCGGGGAGAAAGACAUUGUGCUGGACCCUUGGAGGUUCUCUGGCUGAUCUAAGAGUUAAACUGACAUAAGACAGAUGACCAGGAGUUUAAGAGCCUGUACACAUGGGAGAGACCCAGGAAAACUGAGCAAGUCACCCAAGGACCAAAGCCCUUCCCUGAAAUUCCAUCCUCCUCUAAAGACACAAGAGGGUGUGAAGGGUGGGAAGUUAGUUAUGUGGGGGGGCGGGGGGGUGACCCGGAAAAGCCGUCUCCCCUUCAGUAAGGCUUGGGCAAGAGUGGCAGCCUGUAAGCAUUUUUUACCAAUCCUUCUGAAUUAUUAAAAAAAAAAAGUCAGAGUUCCCUGUGGCUUAAGGACCUGGCUUUGUCGCUGCUGUGGCUUGGGUCGCUGCUGUGAUGCAGGUUCGAUCCCUGGCCCAGGAACUUCCACGUGCCAUGGGUGUGGCCAAAAAAAGAAAAAAAAAAUCAUUGUAGCUCAACAUACAUGAAUCAAAGUGUGGAGAGCAUGGGCCCAGAGUUUGAUGAAUUUUUGCAACGCGGAUGCACCUGUGCAACGGUACCCAGACCAUUCCCCCCGCCAAAGCCCCUGUGGCCUGUCAGUAAUCUCCCCAAUAAAAGCCUGGUCUCGGCUUUCAGCUGCACAGUAGUGGACUGAAUGCCUUCCACCAGACAGAGCCAGGCGCCAGUCUCCAGAACAGGGGGGGACCGUCAGCUUAUUUGGAAACGAAGGCUUUGUAGAUGUAAUUAAGAAUCUGGAGGGGAGACCGUUCUGGGUCAGCUGGGUGAGGCCCAAGUCCAGUGACAAGUCUGCGCAGGGACAGAGGACGGGAAGGCACGGACGCAGAGCAGAAGGCCCUGUGCCGUGGAGGCCGAGACUGGAGGGAGGUGACCAUGAGCCACGGGCAGCCCAGAGCCACGGGGAGCCCAGAGCCCCAGAAGCGGGAAAAGGCAGUGAUGUUCUCAGAGAGGGCAGCCGUACGUUCACCCUGACUUUGGACUCCUGGUUUCCAGACUAUAAGAGAAUGGACUUUACUUGUUUGUUUGUCUAUUUAUUUAUUUUUUGGUCUUUUUAGGGCCGCACCUGCGGCAUAUGGAGGUUCCCAGGCCAGAGGUCGAAUCAGAGCUACAGCUGCCGGCCUACACCAGAUCUGAGCUGCAUCUGCGACCUACACCCCAGCUCAUGGCCACGCUGGAUCCUUAAUCCACUGAGUGAGGCCAGGGAUGGAACC
rnacentral:lncRNA from 1 species